UGGCUACAUCAUGUUGGAACACUGAUUCCUAUAUGAUCACCAAAGUUAUGCAAUGUUGAGCCUGGUUAGUAACUUGAUGGAUAACCCCUUGGGAAUACCAGGUGCUGUAA